rnacentral:rRNA from 1 species
UACGAAGGGGGCUAGCGUUGCUCGGAAUCACUGGGCGUAAAGCGCACGUAGGCGGCUUACUAAGUCAGGGGUGAAAUCCUGGAGCUCAACUCCAGAACUGCCUUUGAUACUGGUGAGCUUGAGUCCGGAAGAGGUGAGUGGAACUGCGAGUGUAGAGGUGAAAUUCGUAGAUAUUCGCAAGAACACCAGUGGCGAAGGCGGCUCACUGGUCCGGUACUGACGCUGAGGUGCGAAAGCGUGGGAGCAAACAGGG